rnacentral:lncRNA from 1 species
AUUUAAAAAAAAUUUUUAUUAUAGUUGAUUUAUAACGUUCUGUCAAUUUCUGCUGUAUAGCCCUCAUUAUGCGUUCUCAUCAGUCUUGUAUCAUUAUCCAUCUUCCUUAUAUCAAAUAAGAUCUCUCCCCAAAGAUGUGAACCAUAGAGAAACUAGGGGCCUCUGCCACCUUGUCCCGUAUGCCUGCCUCAUGGACCCCAGUGCUGGCAUCUACAGGCUCAAUGACUCCCCACGCCUUGCCCUAGGGCUCCUUCUCUCACCCCCUCCCUGCCCUUCCUCCCCCUUUAGGCAUAUUCCUCUGUCUCAGAACAAAGGCCCCAGAGGGGCUGUGUGCUGGAGGCCACCGGAACCAUCCCUCUGCCUCCUAUUUUUCCCAGGCAAACUCUCAGGGUGGCCUGGAAUACUGUCCAUGGCAGGAAGCCUCGCCCUCCUCCCCAAAGGCUGUCCUGGGGCAGCUGGGCUUCACUAGUCAGCCCCGUUCUGCCCGCAGCUACCACCCCCAACGCCCCACCAUCCCCUCUGGCUUCUGACAAGCUCUAGGCCUGGAAUCAGAAUUCAGUCUCCCAACAGAGCCAGAGGUCCUGCACGGGCAGGCAGAGUCUGGAUGGAGGCCGAGGAGACUACAGCUCGUGGUGCGCGUGCACACGCGGGCGCACACACAUACACACACACUCGCCCUCCACCUGUGACUGGAAAUUCUCUUCACCUCCAAGUAAAAUGGAGAAAACAUUUGAAUGGUUCCAAUAAGCCAAGAUUUUAAUUAGAUUCCAAAGAAGAGAAAAAUCGCUUCUUGUGGCAGACUAUUCCAACCGCCUUUAUAUAGUCACCGAAUUUGCAGCAAGAUGCUGGUAAGCCCUCUGGAGGCCACAGGGGCCACGCUACCUGAGUCCCCUGCUUUCCCUGGACCCUCCUCAGAAAGGCCACAGAGCUGCCCAUCACAGGCGCCCUGCAGGCCCCAGGGCUGCUUCUCCACGGGGACUUUAUCUUCUGGGAUUUAAAUUUUACUCAUCAAUCUGCAGGGGGGCUUUUCUCAGGCAGAGAGAACAAAAAGGAAAGAAGAAGUCAAAAUCUUCUUCAGGUGAAGGCAGUUCCACAAAAAUAAAAGGGGGUGCUGGGGGUGGGGAGGAAGAGGAGGUGAGAACACUGAGUGGGGACAAAGGGGACCAAGUCAGACCCACUUCACCCGAGAAGAAAUUACCUGAAUUAAAUUUACAGGAAAAAUAAGCCAAAACCAUUAGAUCCUUUGUUCCUUCUAAAGAGACCAUCAGUUUAGCUCAAAUCUUGCUGAGUUUCGAAUCUCUUGCUCCGGAGGGAUUUGAAGUCACUGUCUGCCUUCUCUGGGUAUUUGCAGGACACAGUCCCAAAGCAGAGACUAGAAACUGGAGGUGGUGAAAUCACUGCAAAUCCCAGUUCUGUCUCAGAAACUAAGCUGCUAUCUAGGGCAGUGAUUCUCAACAAGGGCAAUUCUGGCAGUCCCCAGGGGACAUCUGGAGUGUUCAGAGGCAGUUUGGGUUGUCACUGCUGGGAAGGUGCCUUGCCGUCUCCAGUAAGUCAAGGCCAUAGAUGCUGCUCAAUAUCGUACAGUGCACAGGACACCUCCCGAGAUGAGGAAACAGCUGGCCCUAAAUCGCAGGAGUGGUGAGACUGAGAAACCCUGGUCUGGGCUCAAAGAGAUGGAUCUGGGGGGAUUUGGAUCCAGGAUGCCUUUGAGGCAAAAGAUGGGUAAAGAAGCUAAUGUAGCUACCAGGGCCCAAGAUGAUAAUUAAGGCAGAAAGGAAAGGAGGGAAGGAAAAGGUCAUCAGGACCACACAGACCCCACUCCCAAGCAAGACAAGUGAAACGCAUUGGCGCGGUGACUCUUCCGAGGUCAUGCCUACUUGGGACCUGAUCCCCGAGUCCAAGGUCAACUGCAAGUGCCACGCGAUGACAGCAAUUCUGCUUUCACUUGGCAGUGCCUGGACCUGAAUUCCCCCCAUGGUGGUUACCAGCAGUAAAGGGCCAUGAGAGCUCAGGAUUUUACAGUAAGUCCAUCCCCAAGCCUUAAGCUCAUACACUUCCCAGCAGAAAAAUUGUGUCACCAGCAAGGGUUGUACAAAUAAAUGUCAUCAUCAGUUUCUAAACCCAGGGACGGUGGCCAUGAAGCAGUCUCUUAGAAUAUGCAAUAUCUGAAAACACCAGGGUAACACAUACCACAAUCGUAUUGCCCAAGAAAGUUGUCGGUUUGUGACAUUUGGGGUUCCUGAGGAUGGCACUGCUGCCUUCCUUUUCUGACUCAAAAUCCUUUCUCAGUCUUACACCUAUGGGCGCCUGGCUUGAACCAGCGUGACCCACUUCUGAGCCACUUUCAACUUGGCUUAGACAACUGGACGGUUCUCUUGGGUUCCCAUUUGUCAGUCUGGACUCAGGCGUGUGCCUGAUGUUCAGAGAUGAAUAGGGGUCAAAAUCCCCAUGAAAGGGGAAAAUGCCUUGAAGGGAUGACUUGAAAAAGCCACAGUGAACAGCAAGGCACACAGACACCUACUGGGAUCCACUUCUCAUCACUGCAGUGUGACUUCCAGCAACACCACCCUGAGGGGAGAACUCAAACAGCUCUGAAGAGUGACUCCAGCCUCUCUCAGGCUCUCCUCCUGCCCUGCUGUGCAGGGGGUUCUGCCCCGAUGGGCGGUUCCCUGGUUCUGGGGAUGCAGAGCUGGGGGAGGAGGCAGGUGGCCGAGAGACUUAAGAUUCAGGAUUGGAGGGAGGUUUUCCGGUUGUUGGAGGAAAGUGAGGCUCCAGAACUGACUGGGCAGGUGAGACAGGUGGGGCGUGUAUGCACACCUUGCUCUAAACAGUCCCCUUCGUGGUAUUCGGGAAAGGCAAAGAAAGAUCUUGAGUUGCUUGGAGAGAGUCUGCAACACUAGCCCACAGUAUGGAAUAGAGGAAUUCAUGGGAUAAAGGCCCCAGGGAGUAGCAGGCAGUCAUGGCCAGCAGUCAUGGCCAGCAGGUGUGAGCUGGCCUCCUUCUGCAUUUGAGGAGAAGGUUUCCAUGCACUGUGUCUGGCUCUUACUCUUCCAACCGAGAUGUGGCCUGGGAGCCCCAGGGGGCCUGAGGGGCUUUCAGCUGUGACCCACAGCAGUGUGCUAGCUCCUCUGCCUUCAACCCACUGGGGCAUAGUAAAUUGAUUCUUCAUCUCAUUUUUUAACCCGACAUCCCACUCUCAAUAUGCACUUUUUUUUUCUCCUUUUUUGUGGCAUAUGGAAGUUCCCGGGCUAGGGGUCAAAACAGAGCUGCAGCUGCGGGCCUAUGCCAGAGCCGUAGCAACGCCAGAUCUGAGCUGCAUUUUUGUGUGACCUAUGCCACAGCUUGUGACAAGGCCAGGGAUGGAACCCACAUCCUGACACACACUAUGUCAGGUUCUUAACCUGCUGAGCCACAAUGGGAACUCCCAGAUGUUGUUCAGAGUUCAUACAAUGAUGCUAAAGGUGUGGACUUCCACUUUGGGGCCUGUGCAUGGGUGGCACUGCUGUCCUGGCCCCCCUGACACUGUGGUUCUCAAAGGAACUGGCCUUGCUGCAGGGGGGAUCUGCCAGCAGUGCACCAUCGUGCGCUAUUCUUGCAGCUCCACAGAGAAAGAGCAGACGUGGACGUUCCUCCCUGCAAGGCCUGGGCUGCAGAUCAAUCAGCCCCCUUCCUGGAAGGAGCAACUAACGCAGUUAUGUUUCUGGAUGGCAGAAUAAGCUAGGGACCCUCUGAAAGGCCCUCCACCCACUGUUCUCAGAGAGACGAGGCAGAAGCAAAUGUGGCAAACCGGCCCUAAAUUUCCCAGGUAUCUGGUUCAUCUGGCUAUCAAAUCCAAGAAGGACAGAAAUGGAGACCCACCUUUUUUCUGACCCUGUAUGCAAGCAUUUGUUGAAGGUAGGCAGGACAAUGCCUCUCAAAGAUGUUCACACUUCGGAACCUGCGAAUAUGUUACCUUACGCGGCAAAGGGGACUUUGCAGAUGUGAUUUUACGUUAAGGGUCUUAAAAUAGGGGGGUACACCUGGACCAGGCAGAUGGACCCAAGGUAAUCCGAGGGUCUUCAUAAGGGAAAGAGUCGGGAAUCAGAGGAGACGUGGCCACAGAAACUGUCAGAGUAAUGCAGCAUGAGAAAGACUCGGCUGGCCGGUGCCCGCUUUGAAAAUGGAAGGGCAGGAUUCCACUGGGUAUUUGUGUACCACAUCCUCUUAACCCACUCAUCUGUCAACAGACAUCUGGCAACAUGGAGGCAACCAGAGUCUCAAACUAAGCGAAAUAAUUCAGAAAGAGAAAGACAAAAACCAUAUGAUAUCCCCUACAUGUGGAACCUAAACUGUGGCACAGAUGAACCUGUCUACAGAACAGAAACAGACUCACAGACAUAGAGAACAGACCUGUGGUUGCCAAGGGGGAGGGGGAGAGAGUGGGAUGGAUGGGCACUUUGGAGUUGGUAGAUGCCAACUAUUACAUUUAGAAUGGAGAAGCAAUGAGAUCCUACUGUACAGCACAGGGCACUAUAUCUGUCUCUUGGGAUAGAACAUGACGGAAGAUAGUAUGAGAAAAAGAACGCGAGUGUAUAUACAUGUAAAUAUACACACACACACAUAUUUAUAUGACUAGGUCAUUAUGCUGUACAGCAGGAACUGGCACAACACUGUAAAUCAACCAUACUUUAAUACAAAAUUUAAAAAUGAAAAAAUUUAAAUUUUCUUUAAAAAAAGGAAAAUGGAAGGUAACCACAAGCCAAAGACCAUGCAAGCCUCUGAAAGCUAGAAAAGGCAAGAAACAGAGCCUCCAGAAGGAAUGCAGCCCUGCUGACAGCCUGGUUUUUGCCCCGUGAGACCCAUUUCAUAUGCCUGACAUCCAAAACUAUAAGAUAAUAAAUCUGUGUUGUUUCAAGCCAUCAAAUCUGUCAGCUGUAGGAAAUGAACACACUGCCCUUGGGAACGCCUCUGCUUCCCAAGGACAAGGAUGAGACCUUACCCUUCCCUUCACGACUCAGUGGCAAUGCCUUGCCUGUAGUGGUUCUUAGUAAAUAUUUGUUGAAUGAAUCUACUCAACCUGAGUCCACAAAAAACCUCAUCCAAGUCAUUUAGUCACCUCUACACACACGAUCCCGCAGGACUUACAGCUGAGGGUCCUCUAGUGUGUUUUGACCUGAAUGCACCUGACUUGGACUGGAAAUACCUUUAGAGGAAGGCACGGGUGCUCUGAACACAGGGCCUUGCACAGACUGAGCCUCAAGUCCCCUCUGGGGAUUAGUGGUAACACGAAGCUAGAACCAGGAUUGCUUCAGGAGUAAGGGGGAGGGGAGAGAAGAGGCAAAGGGCAUCCCAAGUCCUCUGUGGAAAUUUUACAGACCUAAUCCAGGCUGGGACAGACCUUCUCUGACCCUGGCCUGAAGACACUUUCUAGGGUCCAGACUUUCUGGAAAGAUCUGCCACCACCCCUUUACCCCCCACCGCCCCAUGUAUUUCUAUCAGCAGGUCACCUCUCCCUGGAGCAUGUGCUUUCUAAAUCUGUUCUCUGCGUAUCAUGAAGGGGUUUUCAGAAACUGGCAUUCCCCCGCACAACGCCUCAGAGUCUCUUACGCUGUCAAUGACCGCACACUGGCCUUGCUGGACAAUCCCCAGCGAAAGCGUGGCAGGAGAGAGCUGAACUACAACCCUUAAUUACUCACUCCUACCCUGUGCAAAGACAAGAGCACGGAAGUGCCGUGAAUCCCUGGGGCAGAUCCUGCAUCCUGGAUGCCUCUGAUGUCAGCGCCUGAGAUGGAACAGUUCCCAUGUCCUGGCUGUGAGAUUAUGCAUGGGGCUGACCAACAUGGAAGCGUUUAGGAGAAGUCCCCUCUCCUGAUGUGGGUGAUGCGCUAGACGGUGAGUGAGCCCCAUCAACUGCAAUUUGAAGACAGUGAGAAGAGAAAGCCUCCCAGUGCACAGACACACGCUUAUGGCCACACUGGGGCCGAGGAGCCCGCAGUGAACCCAUUUGAAGGCACCUGGCAGACACUGGAGCUGUGGGGUCAGGGCCAGGACAGGGUCUUGUUGGAAUUAUCAACACCGGCUUGAGAGCGAGCACGCGAGGAGCUAAUGCUGGCAGACCAUAGGUUGCAUCUUCCAGGAUGGUGGGGAAAAAGGCAGAGUCUGAAAGUCUGGCCAUCGCCAACAUUUAAGAACACAGAGGUAGAAAAGCCGAUAAAGAAACUGAGAGAGUGGUUAAGAGGGUUGGGAAGGUAGGAAAUGUGGUCUCUUAGAAGUUAAAGACUCUGAAAGAAAAUUUUAAGAUGAGGGUCAAUGAGGGGUCCCAGCAAGUUCAAGGAUGAGGAGACUCGAAAGAGGCCCCGAGACCAGGCAGUCCCAGGGCACUAGUGGCCUCAGUGGAGCAGCUUCUGCAGGAAGCGUGUGUGUGUGUGUGUGUGUGUGUGUGUGUGUGUGUGUGUACGUGUGCAUGUGUGUGUGUGUUUCAGGAGAGCAGAGGACAUGAAGACAGCAGGUCUCUUUUCAAGAAGCAGGACCAUGAGGGAAGGAAAGAGAAGAAAUGAGGCACCAGCUUGAAAGGGAAUCAGGAUCAAAAGGAGGUUUCUGGGUUUACGAUAAAGGGAAACUUGAGUGUGAGACACAACGAGCUGGUGGGGGAGAGAUGGAGACACCAGAGAGCGAAUCCCAACGCUGCGCUGGAGGGACACAGCGGAAUCUGAAGUGCACGUGGCUGACCUGGAGAGGAUCGAAGCGUGACCUCAGGGCCACCACCUCGCAAGGGCAGAAGAUGACUCCCCGUCGUCGUCG